rnacentral:rRNA from 1 species
CCUACGGGGGGCAGCAGUGGGGAAUAUUGCGCAAUGGGCGAAAGCCUGACGCAGCGACGCCGCGUGAGGGAUGAAGGUCUUCGGAUCGUAAACCUCUGUCAGCAGGGAAGAACGGUCACUGUGCUAAUCAGCAGUGAAUUGACGGUACCUGCAAAGGAAGCACCGGCUAACUCCGUGCCAGCAGCCGCGGUAAUACGGAGGGUGCGAGCGUUAAUCCGAAUUACUGGGCGGAAAGCGCUCGUAGGUGGUAUGUCAAGUCAAAGGGGAAAUCCCCGCGCUCAACGUGGGAACUGCCUUUGAAACUGGCAAACUGGAGUGUGUGAGAGGAUAGUGGAAUUCCAGGUGUAGGAGUGAAAUCCGUAGAUAUCUGGAGGAACAUCAGUGGCGAAGGCGACUAUCUGGCACAUAACUGACGCUGAGGAGCGAAAGCGUGGGUAGCAAACAGGAUUAGAUACCCUGGUAGUC